AAGUCGUAACAAGGUUUCCGUAGGUGAACCUGCGGAAGGAUCAUUAACAAAAUCAAAACCACCCACACACCCUGUUGUCAGCUGCGCUCCCCCUUUCCGCGCGAGAGGGGGAGGGCGACCUCUUUUCGUCUUUGCGAAAGCAAAGGCGAGAGAGUCUAUGAAAACACGAUCAUGAUGACCAAAAGCAACAACGAGUAAAGAGAAACAACUUUUAACAAUGGAUCUCUUGGCUCUU
rnacentral:misc_RNA from 1 species